rnacentral:rRNA from 1 species
UACGUAGGGGGCAAGCGUUGUCCGGAUUCACUGGGUUUAAAGGGUGUGUAGGCGGACUUUUAAGUCAGCGGUGAAAUCUCCGGGCUCAACCCGGAAACUGCCAUUGAUACUAUUGGUCUUGAAUGUUGUUGAGGUGGGCGGAACGGGUCAUGUAGCGGUGAAAUGCAUAGAUAUGACCCGGAACACCGAUUGCGAAGGCAGCCCACUAAGCAAUGAUUGACGCUGAGGCACGAAAGCGUGGGGAGCAAACAGG